GCUGAUGGACGUACUCCAACGUCUUGGGCCCG
rnacentral:scRNA from 1 species